rnacentral:rRNA from 1 species
GACGUAGGGCGCAAGCGUGUCCGGAUUUAUUGGGCGUAAAGAGCUCGUAGGCGGCUUGUUGCGUCGGCUGUGAAAUCCCGUGGCUUAACUGCGGGCUUGCAGCCGAUACGGGCGGGCUGGAGUUCGGCAGGGGAGACUGGAAUUCCUGGUGUAGCGGUGAAAUGCGCAGAUAUCAGGAAGAACACCCGUGGCGAAGGCGGCUCUCUGGGACGGUACUGACGCUGAGACGCGAAAGCGUGGGGGAGCGAACAGG